rnacentral:lncRNA from 1 species
GGGCACAGCGUGAGGGCCGCCGUUGCUGGAGUUCAGCUUAGGGAAGGAGGACUCUGAGGAGGCCCCGAGCGGCGGAGCGCUUCGGGGGAGGCGCCCGCGCAGACGCGAGGCCCAUAGCCAGGACCACCACCUAGCUGUUCUACAGUCUGGGGACGACGGUUUAAAAAUUUAUGCCUUGCAUGCGAUGUGCAGUGGGUGAUGGAAGAACGUCUACAUGGCUUUAAAAUUGGAUUUAAAAGGCAAAUAUUUUAAAUGAAGGAAAACCCAAGAAGUUUACUUGAUUCCUUAUCUUCCAGGAUGCGACUUUUGUUUAUUUAUUUAUUUUAUUUUGAUGGAGUCUCGCUGCCGUCGCGCAGGCUGGAGUGCAGUGACGCGAUCUUGACCCGGGAACCUCCACCUCCCGGGUUCAAGCGAUUCUCCUUCCUCAACCACCCGAGUAGCUGGGAUUACAGGCGUGUGCCACCAUGCCCGGCUAAUUUUUGUGUUUUUAGUAGAGACCGGGGAAGGUAUGGGCCCUCUUUUGAGAAAAAUGCAGAGUGACACUGAAUUUUGUAACUACAUCAGGAGGCUCUUGAACCUUCUGCAGCUCACUCGUGGAGUUUGUAGAGAUGCGUAAUAAUCCGAAGUGUUAAGGAAGAAGGUUCUGUUGAGAAAAAGUUGGAGGGCUGAAAGGGAUGCCUUUCGCUAUUUCGACAUGUGUGGCUGUACCCCAGAGUGCCCUGGCUAACACGCAAAACCAUGAAUUAGGCGGCUUGGCGAGGCUCAGUGGAGGCUGGGGCCGAGAGUCAUGUCAAAGUUUGUGGGGUUAACCUGCACCCAGUGACAGUCAUGGCGAAGUUUGUGAGGUUAACUCGCACCCAGUAACGCUGUUCCAAUGCAAGGUGUGUAUUUGGUGUCAUCCACGGGAAGAGGAAACAGCAAAUUUUCUCAUGGCCUUGGCAGUUCCACAUGAUGGACAUUUCAUAUCUGCAGUUUUCUUCGCAUGAGAUGGCUUUUUUGCACAAAAACACUGGAAUCCAGUGAGCAAGAAUGAUAGAAUGCAAGAUGGAUUUCCACAUGAGGAAGUGUCACGAACAAGCGUUUUGCAUCUCUGUCAGCUGGAUUCCCCCAUGUGGAGAGACCCACCGACCCUGUGGGGCUGGUCCCUACAUCUGGCGCUCUGACGUGGGGCUCUCCCUCGCUGUGUGAAGUUGCACCCUGAGUGCGGGAUCAGCGGAGGAGUUCAACGAGAGAUUCCUGAGGAUUGCAGUCUAUAAACUUGGUGGAAAAGAACUACAGCCUGUGUGGGUCCCCUCCCGACAAUUAAAAUUGCACCAUAACUCCAAAGAUGAAACGCUCCCAGAAAGAAAAGGCAAAGACCCAUCGGAAACAAAAGAGCAACUUUCACCGCCUGAUACAUACACUUCAUGACAUCCACAUUGAGACAAAAUCUCGCCGUGUGACCUACAACACCUCUCGUUCAACCCCACCUACUUGGGGUCGAAUACAGAUUUUAUCUCAUCAAACAGAAAAAUUCUUAACAGAAAAAGGAAUCCCAAAAAUGACUGGUAAUAUAAUUCUGGCUGCCUUUAUGGUAGUCAGUGCAGCGGUAAGUAUACCACCGGUCGGGGCAACUCAAAAUUAUACUUAUUGGGCAUAUGUUCCUUUUCCCCUUCUAAUUCGGUCUGUCUCCUGGAGGGACUCUCCAGUAGAAGUUUACACUAAUAAUAGUGCAUUCAUGCCGAUCCCUAAUGAUGAUCGGUUUCCAGCUCAACCGGAAGAAGAAGGUAUGCACUUUAAUCUGUCAAUUGGCUAUAAAUAUCCACCAUUAUGUAUUGGGAAGUCGCCUGGUUGUUUAGCUUAUUCUUAACAGAAUUGGAUGUGGACUGUACCGUCCUUUACAAAUGAUUCUUAUCAAGUAUAUAAUGUGUUCAGUACUAACUCUUUUCAACUUCUCACUGUCAAACGUACCCCACAUGAGGCAUGGAGAGUUCCUCUCACUACCAAAACUAAUAAAACAAAAGGACUGCCGGACUGUCCAAAGAAACCUACAAAUGGGCCUUUUAUAGUGACUUCAAUUUUAUGGGAUAAUUGUAAUGCUCCCAAGGCUGUUGUACUCCAAACUCUAGCCAUGGGUAUUGUUAUUGAUUGGGCUCCAAAAGGACAUUAUUGGCAAGAUUGCUCCAGCAAAAAUACCUUAUGCUCGGAGUUUAUUUAUUCCUUAGAUUAUAUAGAGCAUGGGUGGCAGUCUUACACGAUGAGACAACGGGUGUCUCCUUACCCAUUUAAAUGGAUGGACACAGGUAUUGCUCCUCCUAGACCAAAAAUUAUUCAUCCCUUUUUUACCCCAGAACAUCCUGAACUAUGGAAAUUAGCUGCAGCUUUGUCGGGAAUAAAGAUAUGGAACACUACCUAUCAGCUCCUUCGUACUAAAACCAAAACACCCACAUUCAACAUCACCCUUAUUUCUGAAUGGGUGAUACCCAUUAGGAGCUGUGUCAAACCCCCUUACAUGCUGUUGGUUGGAAAUAUAAUUAUGAUGCCUGAUGCACAAACUAUAGAAUGUCAUAACUGUAAGCUGUUCACUUGCAUUGAUGCAACUUUUAAUCCCACUACAAGUAUUCUCUUGGUAAGGGCUAGGGAGGGGGUAUGGAUACCAGUUUCUCUACAUCGUCCAUGGGAGUCUUCCCCCUCUAUUCACAUAGUCAAUGAAGUUCUUAAAGACAUCCUCAAAAGAACAAAGAGAUUUAUUUUUACUCUUAUUGCAGUCCUUGCAGGACUACUUGCGGUUACUGCAACAGCAGCAACUGCUGGAGUUGCCAUCCGCAGUUCUGUUCAAACUGCUCACUAUGUUGAAGCAUGCCAGAAAAAUUCCUCCAGACUUUGGAAUUCUCAGGCGCAAAUUGAUCAAAAAUUAGCUAAUCAGAUUAAUGAUCUCCGCCAAAGUGUAACCUGGCUGGGAGAUAGAGUUAUGAACUUGCAACACCGUAUGCAAUUACAGUGUGAUUGGAAUACUUCUGAUUAUUGCAUAACGCCUUAUGCUUAUAAUCAAGAUCAACAUAGCUGGGAAAAUGUCUCAAGACAUUUAAAAGCCUGGGAUGAUAACUUAACCUUGGAUAUUUCACAACUUAAAGAGCAAAUCUUUGAGGCUUCACAAGCCCAUUUAUCCACAGUUCCUGGCUCACACAUUUUUGAAGGCAUAACUAAACAAUUACCUGAUUUUAAUCCCUUCAAAUGGCUCAAACCCGUCAGAGGAUCAUUGUUGUUACUGGCAUUAUUAAUAUUGGUAUGCUUAUGUUGUCUCCUUUUAGUCUGCAGAUGCCUCUAAGGAGUCCGAAACCAAGUCCGAAGUCAACAACAAGCAAUGAUGGCGAUGGCGAUUCUAGUUAAUAAAAAGGGGGGAGAUGUGGGCGGCAAGCCACCCAGGCACCGAGGCAAGAGACAGAGGACACGAGCUGUUCCAGUAUAAUAAAAUAUAAAACAAGAAUAGUUAUACCAGAUAUAGAUCUUAGAUAUGAUUAUAUACGAAUAUCAUUAAUCAUGAGUUUGUAGCAAUUACUUUUUAUUCCAAUAUUAUGAUAAUCCUCGCUCUAUAAUCAUAGCCUAGGAAAAACCAGGCCAUACAGAGAUAGGAGCUGAGGGGACAUAGUGAAGUGUGACCAGAAGACAAGAGUGCGAGCCUUCUGUUAUGCCCGGACAGGGCCACCAGAGGGCUCCUUGGUCUAGCGGUGACGCCAGCGUCUGGGAAGACACCCGUUACCAGGCGGAUCGUGGCCCAGCCGUAGCAAAAGGUGUCAAGGAACACCUUUUGCAAAAGGUGUCAACACCCGCUACUUAGCAGACUGGGAAAGGGGGGCGGUCUCCCUUUCCCCGGGGGAGUUUAGAGAAGACUCUGUUCCUCCACCUCUUGUGGAGGGCCUGACAUCAGUCAGGCUUGCCCGUAGUUAUCCGGAGGCCUAACUGUCUCCCUGUGAUGCUGUGCUUCAGUGGUCACGCUCCUAGUCUGCCUUCAUUUUCCAUCCUGUACACCUGGCUCUGCCUUCUAGAUAGCAGUAGUAAAUUAGUGAAAAUACUAAUAGUCCCUGAUAUGCAGAAAUAAUGGCAUAAGCUGUCUUUCUCUCUGUCUCCUCUCCCUCUCUGCCUCGGCUGCCAGGCAGGGAAGGGCCCCCUGUCCAGUGGACACAUGACCCAUGUGACCUUACCUAUCAUUGGAGGUGACUCACAUUCUUUACCCUGCCCCUUCUGCCUUGU